rnacentral:rRNA from 1 species
AUUGAACGCUGGCGGCAUGCCUUACACAUGCAAGUCGAACGGUAACAGGUCUUCGGAUGCUGACGAGUGGCGAACGGGUGAGUAAUACAUCGGAACGUGCCUAGUAGUGGGGGAUAACUACUCGAAAGAGUGGCUAAUACCGCAUGAGAUCUACGGAUGAAAGCAGGGGAUCGCAAGACCUUGUGCUACUAGAGCGGCCGAUGGCAGAUUAGGUAGUCGGUGGGAUAAAAGCUUACCAAGCCGACGAUCUGUAGCUGGUCUGAGAGGACGAUCAGCCACACGGGGACUGAGAAACGGCCCAGACUCCUACGGGAGGCAGCAGUGGGGAAUUUUGGACAAUGGGCGCAAGCCUGAUCCAGCAAUGCCGCGUGCAGGAUGAAGGCCUUCGGGUUGCAAACUGCUUUUGUACGGAACGAAAAGCCCCGGGUUAAUACCCUGGGGUCAUGACGGUACCGUAAGAAUAAGCACCGGCUAACUACGUGCCAGCCGCCGCAGUAA